GCAGGAACCGUGAACGCAGGCGCCCCUCCAUCACUUCAGAAAGAGCUCGACAGGAGAUGUGUACAGUUGUACAAAGAGUUAUGUAAAGGUGGAAGAAAAGCUUUUUGUGAACAACGCUUGACACCUGUGGCACGUAAAGGCGUGGGCACUGCGCAACAGAACGACAUAUCUUUUAGGUGCUACGGCGCAGCUGCCGUGUCAGGAGAUCGCGUGGACAAGGGUAAAUUCGGAGUGUACUGCGUGGACAACUGCGGUAACCAUAUACGGUGUAAAGGGACCGUUAAACGGGGGCGUGACUCCUUUCACGCGUCACGUCACGACCAGAUUUUGAAAUGGAUACAGAACGCGAAGCAGACGUACUGCAGUGAACUGCAGAGGAACCUCGACAAGACGUGCAAUUCUAGGGCCGGCGGCUCCCUUGGCAGAAUCUCGGAGCCCAGCCUCGAGUCGAGCAUAGCAUGUGUCCCCAGGGAUAGUCUGGAGUUUGAGAGUGACGGCUACUGCUACAACGAAUGUGGCUUUCCCGGUGUGUGUCCCGGCAAACCAGGUAAGAUUGCCGUACAGUGCGUAUACGCGUAAUGCCGUGUACACUGCGAGUCACCCCUUCUUUUCCCAGGGUAGGUGUAUUCGACUAUAUUGAGUGCCGCCAGUAAACAGGUGGAGCUGCAGAUUCUGUCUUUUGGCAGCGGAGGGACACAUUCGUGUACCAGUGAGUGUGUCUGGGCCGCUUCAAGGAUACGUGGACGUGACGUGUGAUCAGGUGCAGAACCGCAUAUAUGAAACGGAUGUUGAUAGAGAGCCGCAUACUCGAAUCGAACUGCGCACGCAUUUUAGUCAGCUAUUAUGUAAGAGACGUGUUGCUCUCUCUGUUUUAUUGCUACAGCGGGUGGUCAGGAGUACGCGAAACUGAGUGGAACGGACGUAACUCAAUUGUUGCAUGGUUUCCACCGGCCGUGCAAGCCAUACGAAACGUGCACGCAGGUGCCGGGCGAGGCCGUUAAGUGUACAGAUGAAAGCGGUAACGCACUCCACGACGGUGCCUUGAUGACCACCUUUCCUGAGCCGGAAUUUCCGACGUAUCAAAUGCUUCUCCUGUGUUGUAAACACCGCCGCAUGAUGCGCCCAUAACACUGCAUCUGAGGUCUAUGUGUUUCAGCGUUCUUGCAACGCCCUAGUUACUUUACUGCUCUAUUCUUUACCGGCGUACCCACGUAAGUCUGAGUGUAUGUGCUUUCCCGCCCUGUUGCCUUGCUGUCCUUUACGUGUGGAUUGUGGGUGACGCGAGGUGAACAAGCGGCGGUGUUUCCUUCGCCCGUGUUUGCUUCGUAGAGCACUGGUGGCUGCGCUCUGAGUCCUGGGAAUGUGUGCAAGCAGUAGAGCAGAUUGAACUUCUAGUAGUUAGGAGGGGAUAUUCCUAUAACGUAAAGCCGGAGGAUUAGCCUUGCUUUCUUUGUCCACAGAGGAAGGCUUCACAGAUGAACACUAAGGCUGGCAGCAGUGUACUGGCUUCGGACUGCUGCCGCAAGCACCGCGAAGCGAGCUGAGUAUUACUCGUAUCUAAGGCGGGUGCGGCUGAUGUGUCUGUUCACCUGCAAAGCGAACCUGCGCUUCCUUCGCAAGAGAAAAUAACAGCAUGUGACUACACCAUUCUUCCUUGCUUGGACUGAAGGCUUAAUCACUAAGAAACAUUUACCAAAGCCGUCUGUCCGCAGGUCCUGUGAGCUGACCUAUUUAGAUUAGCUUCAAGGCAGCGUCAUGCUCCAACAGAAUGCUGUUGCCCGUCCCUGGUAUGUGAUCGAGUUAUUGAAAGGUUUUUUGGGGGUUGUGCGUGUUGCUAUCUUUUUACACAGAAUACCAAGCAGGUAUGCACGACGACCUCCAACGCUGGUUGGACGCCAAGUGCAAAGUCGCCCUUGAGGAAAUGUGCAAAACUAAACACAGCUCAUUAGAGAUUUGCAAGAAA